UACGAAGGGGACUAGCGUUGUUCGGAAUCACUGGGCGUAAAGCGCACGUAGGCGGAUUUUUAAGUCAGGGGUGAAAUCCCAAGGCUCAACCUUGGAACUGCCUUUGAUACUGGAAGUCUUGAGAUCGGGAGAGGUGAGUGGAAUUCCUAGUGUAGAGGUGAAAUUCGUAGAUAUUAGGAAGAACACCAGUGGCGAAGGCGGCUCACUGGAUCGGUACUGACGCUGAGGUGCGAAAGCGUGGGGAGCAAACAGU
rnacentral:rRNA from 1 species